CGGGGGAGGAAGGAGAAAAGAGCGCCAACAACCCAAAUACAAACUGGGGCAGGACACAGCUGUUCUCAGAUAUGCAAGUAACUUUGAAGGCCAUGUUUAAAGAGACCAUGUCACCUUUUGAAAGUAAACAGCCCAACGGGUGCAAGGAGAACCACAGAACGAAAGUACACGAGCCAUACAGAGGUUAUCAACUCCCCGAUCUGACGGAUUUGCUGGAAGUGCAAGUAUCCCAAACUUUAAUAAAAGCAAUGGACGGUUCCAGGAUAUAAGAAAAGGACACAUUUCGCAUGAGAGCCGGCAUUCUGGGUAAGCCACCUGCUCUCCGUUUGCCUUUGUGAUUAGAAAGAAAAAUGAGAUGAGGUAGAUCCACGAAUGCAUAGACGAGCACACGCGACAGGAAGCCUGGUCACAUUUUGCAUCUGACGUAGCGGUACACCUAGAGUCCCAGGAAAGCCACCCCCCAGGGACCUAGGGCAAAGCCUGGACUCGGCACAACUACAGGACACACGUUAAAGCCACAGACUGCUUGCGUUUGCAGAGCGCACAGACUUCACCCGCAAACACAGGGUGGAAAAGCUGCGUUCGCUCUGGAGGACAGUUGGUUUGAGAGAAAAUCAUAGAACUGAGAAUGGGAAAAAAAAGAAGGUAUGACGGAUGCCAAGAUGCCGCGUCCUGGCCGGAGACACAUGGAGCGGUGAUGCCCACGAUGCUAGGUUCCAAGUUAAUACUGCAUCUGGAUCUUUCCUAAGACCCGGGCAACAAAUGGCAGGGUGUUUCCUGCAAAGGUGCCAGACGCCCCCCUCCCCGCGGCCGUCCGCGCUCGCUCCCAAAUGACAGUUGUAGCACAUACGUCAUAACCGCUUGAAAAGAGAGAGGGAAGCAGUGAUUUCAGACACAGAUUCACAACGACUGCAAGGACUGAGGCCCCCAGAGCAAAAAGAAUCGCUAUGUAACAAGUGCCGUCAGCUUCUCUCCAGCCCGGGGCUCAGGAUGGAGAUGUCGCAGAGAGACACUGCCGUGGCCCGGAGGCCAUUCCAGAGGACCUUCUAGCUAAGGUCACAGGGUCACUGUGGGACCCUGCUUCCCA
rnacentral:lncRNA from 1 species